ACCUACGGGGGGCAGCAGUGAGGGAUAUUGGUCAAUGGGGGAAACCCUGAACCAGCAACGCCGCGUGAGGGAAGACGGUUUUCGGAUUGUAAACCUCUGUCCUCUGUGAAGAUAAUGACGGUAGCAGAGGAGGAAGCUCCGGCUAACUACGUGCCAGCAGCCGCGGUAAUACGUAGGGAGCAAGCGUUGUCCGGAAUUACUGGGUGUAAAGGGAGCGUAGGCGGGAUGGCAAGUUGGGUGUUAAAUCUACCGGCUCAACUGGUAGUCGCACUCAAAACUGCUAUUCUUGAGUGAAGUAGAGGCAG
rnacentral:rRNA from 1 species